rnacentral:lncRNA from 1 species
AUGAACGCAUCUGUUAAAUGUAUAAACUAAAGAGUUGAAACAAAUCCCAUGUUUGGCCAAUGUAGAAUCUAAGUAGAAGGAAGACAUAGAACUAAAUUUUUCAUCCUUUUAUAACUACAAAUGGAUUUAAAUAUAAUAUUAAGUCUUCUGUUCACAUAGUACAUGGUUCAAAUGUACAUAGAAAGUACAUAUAAAUAUCUGGAGGAAGAUUAUUCCAGGUGGAGAGAACUGCAAGACCUUGUGGCAAGAAGGGGCUCAGCAUGACUGACAAAUAGCAAGAAGGAUGUCAGCUGUGGCACUGGCUACCUUGACACAUCUUCAUCUGAAGAAAAAAUACAAAGAAGGCCUGCCAUGAUGACAAUUUACUUCAUGAAGAGAACGGGUUCUGAAACGGUCAUUCUUUUCCAUUUAAACAAUGUUACCAUCUCCCAAAGAACAGCUUUGGGGUAGGAAAGAACAGUAUUUCAUUUCAAGCUGGACUACUCAUCUACCAAAAAACCAUUCUGACCAAAGAAACAGAUGCAGAAUUACAGUCACAGCUGCAUUCUGCACAGAACAAGUUGGAUAAUGGGUCAUCCAGGCUGGAAUGCAAGUGACACAAUCACAGCU